rnacentral:misc_RNA from 1 species
GAAAUGCGAUAAGUAAUGUGAAUUGCAGAAUUCAGUGAAUCAUCGAAUCUUUGAACGAACAUUGCGCCCGCCAGUAUUCUGGCGGGCAUGCCUGUUCGAGCGUCAUUACAACCCUCAGGCCCCCGGGCCUGGCGUUGGGGAUCGGCGGAAGCCCCCUGCGGGCACAACGCCGUCCCCCAAAUACAGUGGCGGUCCCGCCGCAGCUUCCAUUGCGUAGUAGCUAACACCUCGCAACUGGAGAGCGGUGCGGCCACGCCGUAAAACACCCAACUUCUGAAUGUUGACCUCGAAUCAGGUAGGAAUACCCGCUGAACUUAAGC